rnacentral:rRNA from 1 species
UCGAACGAGGUAGCAAUACCUAGUGGCGAACGGGUGAGGAAUGCUGGGNAAUCUGCCUUGUAGUGGGGGAUAACGUUUCGAAAGGAACGCUAACACCGCAUACGUCCUACGGGAGAAAGGGGGGGAUCUUCGGACCUCUCGCUAUAAGAUGAGCCCAAGUCGGAUUAGCUAGUUGGUGGGGUAAAGGCCUACCAAGGCGACGAUCCGUAGCUGGUCUGAGAGGAUGAUCAGCCACACUGGAACUGAGACACGGUCCAGACUCCUACGGGAGGCAGCAGUGGGGAAUAUUGGACAAUGGGCGCAAGCCUGAUCCAGCCAUGCCGCGUGUGUGAAGAAGGCCUUCGGGUUGUAAAGCACUUUAAGCGGGGAGGAAGGGCUCUGGUUUAAUAAACUGGAGCAUUGACGUUACCCGCAGAAUAAGCACCGGCUAACUCUGUG